rnacentral:rRNA from 1 species
AGACGGGGGGGGCGAGCGUUGUUCGGAAUUACUGGGCGUAAAGGGCGCGUAGGCGGAAUGAUAAGUCAGAGGUGAAAACCCAGGGCUCAACCCCGGGCCUGCCUUUGAUACUGUCAUUCUUGAGUGCGAGAGAGGAAAGCGGAAUUCCCGGUGUAGCGGUGAAAUGCGUAGAUAUCGGGAAGAACACCGGUAGCGAAGGCGGCUUUCUGGCUCGCAACUGACGCUGAGGCGCGAAAGCGUGGGGAGCAAACAGGAUUAGAAACCCCAGUAGUCC